CAGCCGCCACGGGAAUACGUAGGGUGCAAGCGUUAAUCGGAAUUACUGGGCGUAAAGCGCGCGCAGGCGGUCCGCUAAGACAGAUGUGAAAUCCCCGGGCUUAACCUGGGAACUGCAUUUGUGACUGGCGAGCUAGAGUAUGGCAGAGGGGGGUAGAACUCCACGUGUAGCAGUGAAAUGCGUAGGGAUGUGGAGGAAUACCGAUGGCGAAGGCAGCCCCCUGGGCCAAUACUGACGCUCAUGCACGGAAGCGUGGGGAGCAAACAGGAUUAGAUACCCCCGUAGUCCCUGUCUCUUAUAC
rnacentral:rRNA from 1 species